rnacentral:rRNA from 1 species
GAAAAGAAACCAACAGGGAUUGCCCUAGUAACGGCGAGUGAAGCGGCAACAGCUCAAAUUUGAAAUCUGGCCUCGGCCCGAGUUGUAAUUUGCAGAGGAUGCUUUUGGCGCGGUGCCUUCCGAGUUCCCUGGAACGGGACGCCACAGAGGGUGAGAGCCCCGUAUGGUUGGACACCUAGCCUGUGUAAAGCUCCUUCGACGAGUCGAGUAGUUUGGGAAUGCUGCUCAAAAUGGGAGGUAAAUCUCUUCUAAAGCUAAAUACCGGCCAGAGACCGAUAGCGCACAAGUAGAGUGAUCGAAAGAUGAAAAGCACCUUGAAAAGGGGGUUAAACAGUACGUGAAAUUGUUGAAAGGGAAGCGCUUGUGACCAGACUUGCGCCGGGCGGCUCAUCCGGGGUUCUCCCCGGUGCACUCCGCCCGGCUCAGGCCAGCAUCGGUUCUCGUGGGGGGAUAAGACUGGUGGGAACGUAGCACCCUCCGGGGUGUGUUAUAGCCCGCCUGACGAUACCCCCGUGGGGACCGAGGUUCGCGCUCCGCAAGGAUGCUGGCGUAAUGGUCAUCAGCGACCCGUCUUGAAACACGGACCAAGGAGUCGUCCAUUAUAGCGAGCGUUUGGGUGUAAAACCCGCACGCGUAAUGAAAGUGAAAUUAGGUGAGAGCUUCGGCGCAUCAUCGACCGAUCCUGAUGUUCUCGGAUGGAUUUGAGUAAGAGUUAUAACGGACGGACCCGAAAGACAGUGAACUAUGCUUGUAUAGGGUGAAGCCAGAGGAAACUCUGGUGGAGGCUCGCAGCGGUUCUGACGUGCAAAUCGAUCGUCAAAUAUGAGCAUGGGGGCGAAAGACUAAUCGAACUGUCUAGUAGCUGGU